GUCACAGGCCAGGGAGCCGGACCAGCGCGGGAGGCGGGGAGCUCGCCCGCCCGCCGAGCUGGGCUCCGACCCGGCUCCGGGCUGUCGCCCCCGCCCCGCCCGCCCCGCCCGGCCCCCGCCUGCCCCCUCAGAGGGGAAAGCGGCUCAGAGCGCUCCCUCGGGGAUCACCUGGGGGUCGGCGGGAGGGGAAAGCCGCUGCCCUCCGCGGCCCCCGCGGAGCCGCCUCCCUGCCGGCUGCCCCCCGCUUUCCCGUCCCUUCGCAGGGGUGAGCGGCGACCACGGCCCUCCCGGCAGCCGGGCUACCGCUGCGCUGCCCACUGCUCAGCAAACAAAAACGCACGGAAACACCCCCCGCCUGCCAUUUUAGGACCAAACCCAGUGGCACCGAGGGGUGGGCCCAGCGCCCUAAUGGAACAUAAAGGAAAGGAACGCGGCGGGGACGAAGGAAGGGGAGACCGAGAGAGAGCAGGAACCAGCCCACAGUCUGGGGGCUUGGCUGCUGCUUCAAGCUCAAGUGAGAAGACACUUUCUACCCCAGACACCCGGUGUCCUGCCUUCCUAACUCCAACUGGUCUGUGCUGCUUCCCCUAACAGCAUGAACAGAAAACACGUACAGUGUGCCGCAGCUGGAUGCCCCCAUCACCCCAAGCUGGAAGCUCAGCUCCUCCCUCCCCAGCUCUCCAUUUGUUUUUCUAUAUUCCACUGUGGCUAGAUAGUCCCUUUAAAUUAAAAAAAAAAAAAAAAAAAAAAAGUGAAACAAGAAAUUGUUUACUCCUGUGGCCAGGGCUCCCAUCAGCAUAGGGCUGAAGUCUUUGGGCAGAGGGCUCUGCCCCGGGAGGGCCGCGCCAGGACCCGGAGACAACAGGCUCUUGGGUGUCCAGCCCGCCACUUUUCAGGACGCUCAACUCCAUCCUCCUGCACUUCCCCUCUCGCCCUCACUCCCGCCUCUCCCACCUCUUACCUGUCCCGUGACCUUUGGGCAGGUGCGAGGAGGAGGGGCUACGCUGGGGGGGCGGGGGAGGGGAAGGUGCUAGGAAGGGAAGCCGCCUAAGGCUCCGGCUGCAGCAGCUGCCGACUGCGAGGAGCAGAAAAGGCAGAGGGUGACGGGGACCGAAAUGGAAAACAGGAAAACACAUGUGUGACUCUGGCCGGCAGCGGGGAGGGGCCAGGGGAUGGGCUGGAGCCUGGACUGCCUGGUCAGACCCAGAGGACCUCGUCGCCUGCCCGCCUCUAGGAACCUACUCUACUCAAGUCUCAGCUCCUCCGGUUGCCCACCUCAGCCCUGAUCUUCCUUGUUGCCCUGCGUCCCAGCGGUCCCAGUGACUGACGGUGCCCUCCUGUCGCCCUUUACCAUUUGCCUGUUCCCCUCAUCCCAUCUACCCAUCUCCCACUCCCAUACUAUCCUUCGUCCUGCAGAGGGUAUAGGAUUCAUCGUUUGGGCCCAGGAUUCAGGAUUCAGCCCCCGUGUCAGGCAACACAUACUGAGGAAGACCCCUUGUAGUGAUACAGCCAGAUGCCCCACGCCCAGCUCGGGUCCCCACUCGAUUCAGGCGAUGCAUGUGCAGCCAGGUAAGAGCCAGCUCUGGCACCCUGGGCAAGCUAACCAGCUGGCACCCCUUCAAACCAGGAUCUUUUAAGUAUCUGUUGGAUGUCGACUGAGCAGAGGUGGAGGAACACAGAUUUUCUCAGAAUCAAAACUAUCAGCCUCAUUGUUUCUAUUUGAAAUUAGAGCUUAUUCCAAGAAUUCCUUACGUGCGACUUUCCGAAGUAGUUUCUUGGUGGCCAUAUGAAACCACUGCAACUGCAGACAAUAGCAUCAGUCUCUCUUGG
rnacentral:lncRNA from 1 species